GAUGAACGCUGGCGGCGUGCCUAAUACAUGCAAGUCGAGCGAACAGACGAUGAGCUUGCUCCUCUGACGUUAGCGGCGGACGGGUGAGUAACACGUGGAUAACCUACCUAUAAGACUGGGAUAACUUCGUGAAACCGGAGCUAAUACCGGAUAAUAUAUUGAACCGCAUGGUUCAAUAGUGAAAGACGGUUUUGCUGUCACUUAUAGAUGGAUCCGCGCCGCAUUAGCUAGUUGGUAAGGUAACGGCUUACCAAGGCGACGAUGCGUAGCCGACCUGAGAGGGUGAUCGGCCACACUGGAACUGAGACACGGUCCAGACUCCUACGGGAGGCAGCAGUAGGGAAUCUUCCGCAAUGGGCGAAAGCCUGACGGAGCAACGCCGCGUGAGUGAUGAAGGUCUUCGGAUCGUAAAACUCUGUUAUUAGGGAAGAACAAAUGUGUAAGUAACUAUGCACGUCUUGACGGUACCUAAUCAGAAAGCCACGGCUAACUACGUG
rnacentral:rRNA from 1 species